rnacentral:rRNA from 1 species
AGAGUUUGAUCAUGGCUCAGAUUGAACGCUGGCGGCAGGCCUAACACAUGCAAGUCGAACGGUAACAGGAAGCAGCUUGCUGCUUUGCUGACGAGUGGCGGACGGGUGAGUAAUGUCUGGGAAACUGCCUGAUGGAGGGGGAUAACUACUGGAAACGGUGGCUAAUACCGCAUAACGUCGCAAGACCAAAGAGGGGGACCUUCGGGCCUCUUGCCAUCAGAUGUGCCCAGAUGGGAUUAGCUUGUUGGUGAGGUAACGGCUCACCAAGGCGACGAUCCCUAGCUGGUCUGAGAGGAUGACCAGCCACACUGGAACUGAGACACGGUCCAGACUCCUACGGGAGGCAGCAGUGGGGAAUAUUGCACAAUGGGCGCAAGCCUGAUGCAGCCAUGCCGCGUGUAUGAAGAAGGCCUUCGGGUUGUAAAGUACUUUCAGCGGGGAGGAAGGUGUUGUGGUUAAUAACCGCAGCAAUUGACGUUACCCGCAGAAGAAGCACCGGCUAACUCCGUGCCAGCAGCCGCGGUAAUACGGAGGGUGCAAGCGUUAAUCGGAAUUACUGGGCGUAAAGCGCACGCAGGCGGUCUGUCAAGUCGGAUGUGAAAUCCCCGGGCUCAACCUGGGAACUGCAUUCGAAACUGGCAGGCUUGAGUCUUGUAGAGGGGGGUAGAAUUCCAGGUGUAGCGGUGAAAUGCGUAGAGAUCUGGAGGAAUACCGGUGGCGAAGGCGGCCCCCUGGACAAAGACUGACGCUCAGGUGCGAAAGCGUGGGGAGCAAACAGGAUUAGAUACCCUGGUAGUCCACGCCGUAAACGAUGUCUACUUGGAGGUUGUGCCCUUGAGGCGUGGCUUCCGGAGCUAACGCGUUAAGUAGACCGCCUGGGGAGUACGGCCGCAAGGUUAAAACUCAAAUGAAUUGACGGGGGCCCGCACAAGCGGUGGAGCAUGUGGUUUAAUUCGAUGCAACGCGAAGAACCUUACCUGGUCUUGACAUCCACAGAACUUUCCAGAGAUGGAUUGGUGCCUUCGGGAACUGUGAGACAGGUGCUGCAUGGCUGUCGUCAGCUCGUGUUGUGAAAUGUUGGGUUAAGUCCCGCAACGAGCGCAACCCUUAUCCUUUGUUGCCAGCGGUCCGGCCGGAAACUCAAAGGAGACUGCCAGUGAUAAACUGGAGGAAGGUGGGGAUGACGUCAAGUCAUCAUGGCCCUUACGACCAGGGCUACACACGUGCUACAAUGGCGCAUACAAAGAGAAGCGACCUCGCGAGAGCAAGCGGACCUCAUAAAGUGCGUCGUAGUCCGGAUUGGAGUCUGCAACUCGACUCCAUGAAGUCGGAAUCGCUAGUAAUCGUGGAUCAGAAUGCCACGGUGAAUACGUUCCCGGGCCUUGUACACACCGCCCGUCACACCAUGGGAGUGGGUUGCAAAAGAAGUAGGUAGCUUAACCUUCGGGGGGGCGCUUACCACUUUGUGAUUCAUGACUGGGGUGAAGUCGUAACAAGGUAACCGUAGGGGAACCUGCGGUUGGAUCACCU